rnacentral:lncRNA from 1 species
CUCAGCUACAAGUGUUUCAACGAAUAGUGAUCGUUUUUAAAAUUAGUAAAUUGAUAAUUUAAGUUAGUUUGUAAAGUUACACUAAGGCACUACAUGGAGUAUCGGCAUGUAUACCGACAUGUAAAGUAAUGAAUUUAUCAACACUUUAACCUUUAAGAUUAGGUAUGUUUUAGCAUUUUAGAAUUUUUAUCUUUAUAUAUUUCUAGGAUUUAGUGCUUGUGCAAAAUAAAACGGACUUAUCUUUCUCGAAAUCCCACUUCAACCUCAUCGUUGGUAAGCUGGGGACUAACAUUAACGGAAUAAGAACUUAUACUUGUUAAUAAUUGAACAAGUUAUAAUUAAAUAAGUAUUAUUACCUGUAUUUUACCUGGGUUUACCUGCCAAAAAAAUGCGCGCAAUUGUAAUCAAAAGCUGCGCGCAAACGUAAUGAUUUUUGCGCGCAAAUGUAAUGGUAAUGCGCGCAAACGUAAUGCACCGC